rnacentral:rRNA from 1 species
AAGACCUUGCGCUUUUGGAGCGGCCGAUGCCUGAUUAGCUUGUUGGUAAGGUAAAGGCUUACCAAGGCUUCGAUCAGUAGCUGGUCUGAGAGGACGGCCAGCCACACUGGGACUGAGACACGGCCCAGACUCCUACGGGAGGCAGCAGUGGGGAAUUUUGGACAAUGGGGGAAACCCUGAUCCAGCCAUGCCGCGUGAGUGAAGAAGGCCUUCGGGUUGUAAAGCUCUUUCAGCCGGAACGAAACGGUUACGGAUAAUACCCGUGACUACUGGCGGUACCGGAAGAAGAAGCACCGGCUAACUACGUGCCAGCAGCCGCGGUAAUACGUAGGGUGCGAGCGUUAAUCGGAAUUACUGGGCGUAAAGCGUGCGCAGGUGGUUUUGUAAGUCAGAUGUGAAGGCCCCGGGCUCAACCUGGGAACU